rnacentral:rRNA from 1 species
GAUGAACGCUGGCGGCGUGCUUAACACAUGCAAGUCGAACGAACGACUAUUAACAGAACCUUUCGGGGCGAAGAAUAUAGAAGUUAGUGGCGGACGGGUGCGUAACGCGUGGGUAAUCUGCCUUUGUCAAAGGAAUAACUAUUCGAAAGAAUAGCUAAAACCGUAUAACAUAUUAAUAGGGCAUCCUAAUAAUAUCAAAACGAUAGUGGACAAAGAUGAGCCCGCGUCUGAUUAGCUAGUUGGUGAGAUAAAAGCCCACCAAGGCAACGAUCAGUAGCCGACCUGAGAGGGUGAACGGCCACAUUGGAACUGAGACACGGUCCAAACUCCUACGGGAGGCAGCAGUGGGGAAUAUUGCACAAUGGGGGGAACCCUGAUGCAGCAACGCCGCGUGAGU